CAAGUCGAGCGGACCGACGGGAGCUUGCUCCCUUAGGUCAGCGGCGGACGGGUGAGUAACACGUGGGUAACCUGCCUGUAAGACUGGGAUAACUCCGGGAAACCGGGGCUAAUACCGGAUGCUUGAUUGAACCGCAUGGUUCAAUCAUAAAAGGUGGCUUUUAACUACCACUUACAGAUGGACCCGCGGCGCAUUAACUAGUUGGUGAGGUAACGGCUCACCAAGGCGACGAUGCGUAGCCGACCUGAGAGGGUGAUCGGCCACACUGGGACUGAAACACGGCCCAAACUCCUACGGGAGGCAGCAGUAGGGAAUCUUCCGCAAUGGACGAAAGUCUGACGGAACAACGCCGCGUGAGUGAUGAAGGUUUUCGGAUCGUAAAACUCUGUUGUUAGGGAAGAACAAGUACCGUUCGAAUAGGGCGGUACCUUGACGGUACCUAACCAGAAAGCCACGGCUAACUACGUGCCAGCAGCCGCGGUAAUACGUAGGUGGCAAGCGUUGUCCGGAAUUAUUGGGCGUAAAGCGCGCGCAGGCGGUUUCUUAAGUCUGAUGUGAAAGCCCCCGGCUCAACCGGGGAGGGUCAUUGGAAACUGGGGAACUUGAGUGCAGAAGAAGAGAGUGGAAU
rnacentral:rRNA from 1 species